UACGUAGGGGGCGAGCGUUGUCCGAAGUUACUGGGCGUAAAGCGCGCGUAGGCGGACUCUUAAGUGAGGGGUGAAAGGUUCAGGGCUCAACCCGAACACUGCCUUUCAUACUGGGAGUCUUGAGUGCGGGAGAGGCGAGUGGAAUGGUCGGUGUAGCGGUGAAAUGCGUAGAUAUCGAUCGGAACACCCAUGGCGAAGGCAGCUCGCUGGCCUGUAACUGACGCUGAGGUGCGAAAGCUAGGGGAGCAAACAGG
rnacentral:rRNA from 1 species